rnacentral:rRNA from 1 species
AUGUCGGAUGCAGCAAGAAAGUCCUGCAGAAUUACUAUUCUAUGUUCAAAAACAAAAUCAAGAAUUGUGAUGCUCAAAAUGCUAGUGGACCAAUUUGGUAGACUCAAGGAACUCAACCAUGAAUUUUUCUUUGACUAUGAAGUAGAUGAAGCUGGUACAUUACUGCAUUUGUUUUGGGCAGCUGCAACCAGUAGGAAAAACUACAGCCAUUUCCAUGAUGUGUUGUCCUUUGAUUCCACAUACAACACUAACCAGUACGACUAUAUCUUUGCACCUUUUACUGCUAUCAACCAUCAUAUGCAAAGCGUCUUUCUUGGUGCUGGAUUCUUACUCAAUGAGACGGCCAAGGACUACAUAUGGUUGUUUGAUGUAUUUCUUAAAUGCAUGGGUGGGGUUGCACCCGGAGUUAUCAUAACAAAUGAGUGUGGUAGCAUGAGGAAAGCUAUCGCGGCACUUCUACCUAAUACCAAGCAUCGCUUGUGCAUGUGGCACAUUAUGAGGAAGGUCCCUGAGAAGGUCUCUCCUGAAUUGAGAAGCGAUGAACUAUUUUAUAAGAGAUUGGAUUCUUGUGUGUGGAAUUCUGAAACACCUGAAGAAUUUGAAGAAUGCUGGAAGUCUUUAAUAUUAGAUUUUGGCUUGCAUAACAAUGAGUGGUUUGUAAAAUGUUACCUGAUCCGUGGGUCAAGGGUGCCGGCAUAUUUCAUGGACAUUCCCCUAGCUGGUAUUCUUAGAACCACCUCUAGGUCAGAGAGUGAAAACUCAUUUUUCAAGAAUUUCAUCCGGCGCAAGCUUUCUUUCAUUGAGUUUUGGCUUAGGUUUGACACAACCAUUAAAAGUCAGAGGCAAGAGGAGUUGGUUGCUGACCACACAAGCAUACAUACGACACCUAGAUUGUUGACAUGUUGGGAAGUGGAAAGACAAGGUAGCAUAAUAUUCACUCAUGAGGUCUUUGCCUUGUUUCAGUCAGAAGUAUUUGCUGCUAGAGAGCAUUGUGAUGUCCAGGAGACCACAACUGUGGGGAAUUUGAAGAUUGUGUCCAUUAGCGAUCAAAGUCAUCCGAAAAAUAGGGUAAGAGAGGUACACUUGGAAACAACAACCAUGAUUGAUAAAUGUUCUUGCAAGCUCUUUGAGUCAAAGGGCAUUGUUUCUCGCCAUAUCAUACGUGUCUUGAGGGGUGCAAAGAUAAAUGAGCUUCCAACCUUUUAUGUACUCAAAAGAUGGGAGAGAAUGUGCAAAAGGGAUGUUGUCUACAACGAUGAAGGGAAUCCACUCGAAGAUAAUCCCAUUGACUGCAUUGACAUGGAUACAAGAAGAAAGAUAUCAGAUGCACGAAACAAAUUAGAAGAUAUCAUCCGAUGUGCUAAAAAAUCGAGCAGAGGACUUGACUUACUUAAUACGGGUUUGUGCAAUCUCCAAUCCACUAUCUUGCAAUCUGCCCCUGUUGCAUCUCAGACUACAGAAGAAGAGCAAGAAUCAUUCGUUGGUAGCACUAUCCCCACCCAAGUUGAUAUCCUAACACCGACUAACAUGAAUGCGAGGGGUACAUGCUCGAGAAUUAAGGGCCAUCGAGACAAAGACAAGAAGGCAGGUCGGUUGGUACAACUGGAAGUUGAUGUUUCCCUGGAGCAUCAUCAUAUUCAAUCUGGAAGUACGUACAGAACCUGUUGCGUGAUCUUCUUCCGAUGGAUAGCCAUUGAUUUGCUAUCCAUUUCAUUUGCUUUCAGGAGCGAUGAUCCUUGGAGGAACAGGUGA